rnacentral:rRNA from 1 species
CCUACGGGUGGCAGCAGUGGGGAAUAUUGCGCAAUGGACGAAAGUCUGACGCAGCGACGCCGCGUGAGGGAUGAAGGUUUUCGGAUCGUAAACCUCUGUCAGGAGGGAAGAAGGCGCAUGGCGCCAAUCAGCCAUGCAUUGACGGUACCUCCAAAGGAAGCGCCGGCUAACUCCGUGCCAGCAGCCGCGGUAAUACGGAGGGCGCGAGCGUUAAUCGGAAUUACUGGGCGUAAAGCGCACGUAGGCGGGUUGGUAAGUUGGGGGUGAAAUCACAAGGCACAACCGUGGAACAGCCCUUGAUACUGCGAGACUUGCAUCCCGGAGAGGGUGGCAGAAUUCCAGGUGUAGGAGUGAAAGCCGUAGAGAUCUGGAGGAAUAUCAGUGGCGAAGGCGGCCACCUGGACCGGUACUGACGCUGAGGCGCGAAAGCGUGGGGAGCAAACAGGAGUAGAUACCCCAGUAGUC